AUAAUCCAUCAUCUCUGAAACUGGCAGAUUCUGGCCAUACACCAGAGUCGAGUACACCAAUGAUCACAUCUUGACCAAAACCAGAAGCAGGCCAUAGCCCAGAAGCAGGAUUGAGGUUAAGAAACUUAGAGGAAUGUGUUGUGUGAGCUUCAACAGGCCUAUCUUUAUAAGCUGAAAGGAAACCUGGUGACUUCUUGAGAGCUUCAAAUUCAUCUUUAGACAAAACAACAUUGAAGCCAUGAAGCACAUUGUCGUAAGAAUAAAGAAGCUUUGGAACUGGAUGGUAGCCAUUUUGUGUAGUGGGAGCUUCAAUCUUGAUGGUAUCAAUAAUGGAAGAAUGCCAGUUUUGGUGAGUAGCAAAUAUUUUAGGCAUAAAAGUCUUGUCCAAAUGGACAAUGUAAGUAGACCUCUCUGCUAAUAAUAAAGAAGGGCCAAAAAGAAACCAAGAAAAGAGAAGAAAAGGUACUCCUCUCAUAGUUUUUUCUCUACACUUUGUGUUUCCUACUAUAACAAAGCCUCCUUAUAAUAUACACCCUUAUGAAACAGCCAUUGUUGGUUAUCUGUCUUUUUCUAUAACAGAAGAAAAGAUUUUGUGAAGUAGAUAGUGCAAUUUGACCAAUCGGUUAGCUGUCAUUUUCCAAGACUUGUCUGUUGAGUCAGUGGAUCUGUGGAGACUUUUGCUAGUUGUGUGCUCACCUAUGUUGGUUGGACUAUUCAAACAUGCCGCUGUAUGUGUGUCGGAUCCUUCAAAAAUAAUGCUUUUUUGGAGGAUCCGACACAGGUGCAGCAACACUUUUAAAAAGUCCAAGCAACAUAGGUGUUAACUACAUUCAAAAAUUCAGCUGAAAUAGUUAGUUGGUAAACCUAUGAGAACCGUCCAUUAUCUUUUCUUCGUUUGAUCAGGACCAUACCAGUAAUACAACACAUCCGACCCAACUAAUUGGGUGAUUUGUUAUUAUUAGUGUUAAUUUAGGACUGAUUUGAGUUUAAAUAUUUUUUCACUAAUUUAGUUUUUUGAAAUUUAUUUGUAAUUGCACUUUCAAAAUUUGCAAAUUAGUUGAUUUCAUAACUUUUAAAUAAAAUUAAAAAGGAAGAAACUGAAGCUAAUAAAGCUAGAUGAAAAAUUCGUUGAGGAUGAAGAUUUUUUUUUUUAUUGUAGAUGGAAAACUCUUCAACAUCUAUCAAUGGAGAUUUUGGAGAAGAUGGGAAGUAGGUCUUUUAAUAAAGAAGAAAACUCAAAUUGAAUGUGCCACGUGACAUUUUUACAUUGGUUUGAGGGUGUAUUUUUACUCCUCCACAUGCCUAUCAAACGUGAGAACACAACUGUUGUGAAAAUGGGUCAAAAGUGUUUAUUUAUUGUGAUUUAAUUGAAUUUCCUUGGCUUCUUCAUGCAUUUACUUUUUUAUAUUUUGAAUUCUUUUAGUGAAAAUUCUGACAUGACCACUAUAGUUAAUACCGCAGAGGUGGGCAAACAUUGUUAUGUCAAGAACAUAGACAUAUCGCUACAUGUCAAAAGAAAUUUAAACACAAAAAAGAAUCAUUUUCCCAAAAGAUCGAGCUUAUUUCAUCUCAGUUCAAUCUUCUCGUGAACAAAACCUACUACUUAUGCUUGCUUGGUAACUUGAUGUACUCUAAAGAUAUGUGAUAUCAUGUUUCCAGUUUCUUCAACUCGAUUCAAAUCAAGUUGACAAACUUACAGGUGUCUAAUUUCCCUAAUUUAUUUUCUCUAAUUUGGUUGUGUUAAUUUCAGUUUAGAAUUAUACAACUCUUCUUCAAAUUUUAAGCGGGAUUUUAUUUUGUAAGAACAAAACACUUUAUGAAACUAUGCCUAAUUAAGUCCUUUUCGUUCCUUUUCCGAUUCCUAUUCCUAUUUGGAUUCCGAUUCAAACUAGAUUUAUAGUUACAUAUUUUCUUCAAUAUAAAUAUACACCUUGAUUUCACAUAUGAUUUGUCUCUCAAUUUUUAAUUUUCUUCUUACUUUCUCCAAUUAAAAGAACAGAUCCUCAUCCUGAUACAGAAGACAUCGUGAAUUGGAAUCUUGAUAUUACAUGGAUUUUUCUAAGCAUAGGCCAUACAAUAACAAUGACAUAAUUGGCCGUGAAGAACUACCACGAAUUUCAGCCAAAUCAGGCCAUCAAAGGCUGAGAGAGAGAUUAGAAUUAUACGAAUUCGUAGAACAAGAAGUUUCAGGAGAUGGCAACUGUCAAUUUCACUCAAUUUCGGAUCAAAUAUAUGGGAGUUGUGAGCAUCACAAAUUAGUAAGGGAACAAGUUGUUAAACAACUAAAAUUUUAUGGAGAGUUGUAUGAGGGGUUUGUUGCAGUGGAAGAGUAUGAUGAAUACUUAAAGAGAAUGAGCAAUUGUGGUGAAUGGGGUGAUAAUGUAACUCUGCAGGCUGCUGCAGAUUCAUAUGGGGUUAAGAUAUUUGUCAUUUUUAAGGACACCGACUACAUUGAGAUUCUUCCGCAAAGUGAUUGUAACCACAAGUCGAACAAGAUGAUUUAUUUGAGUUUUUGUGCUGAAUUGCAUUACAAUUCAAUGUAUCUACAAGGAGAGUAUUCAGCUGGAGAAACCUACUGGUGGGCAUAGAUACCGAAGAACCGAAUCAAAGUGAUUUUUUUUUUAAACAGAGCAACAAUUUCGAAACGUAUAUUGUAUUAAAUAUACGGUUUUGCCAAUUAUAGGCCUUCACUCUUUAUUUAUAUAUUAUUUUCGUAUGAUUUUUGUAGUUAUUAGCUCUUCUAUUAUUAUAAUUUAUUUAUUACAUGCAAUGCUUUUGUGCCAAAAAAAGAAGAAGAGAAGUUAUUGAAUUGAUUUUUUCAAUCGUUUUUAUUUAAUUUUCAGGUUUUAUACCAUGAAUAAAUCUGUUAUUGACAAGGCAAAAUUAUUCAUGAAGUUUCUGCAUAAUAUGCUCUAUCGAAUUUUCUUGAGACGUAUAAUCAUGAAUUUUCUGCAUCAAGAGGUAUUUAUAAAUAGAGCAUGUAUAACAUGGUGGAGAUAGGAUAUUCACCAAUGUUGUUAAUGGAUGUUUUAUUUAGUACGGACAAGUUAUGCAAAUAUCGGCAUUUUUCGUUUUUAGCUCAAUUUAUUUAAAUUACUUAAAAUGAUCCUUCAGACCUAUUUUUUCCAAAAUAAUUAUCAUCUUCUUUUCCUUUAUAAUUCGACGUAUCGCAACAAGUUUUCGUGGCAUUGAAAAUUAUCUGCAACCAAAAUAAAUAAAGGAAAAUGUGAUUUUUAUUGAUGAAUCUUGUGAGUACAAUCGUGUUGUUCUCUUGUUUUUUCUCUCCUAAACUUCUCCGUGAUUCGAGGGCUUCAAUACCGUAUUUCUCUAAUGUAGGAUUAUGUAGACCUCCUUGAGAUGUAUUUGAUCUCCGGGAAAGUCGGAAAACACUUGGUUGUUUCAAGGCAAAAUUAUGCAUCAAGUCUCUGCAUAAUAUGCUGUAUAGAAUUUUGUUGAGAUCGUAUAAUCAUGAAAAGCCAGCGGUAUGAAUGUUAUAACAGAUUAAUGAUCUCUAUCUUGAUGACUAGUGAAGUGAAAAUUCUGUUCUGUGGUAAAGUAAGUUUUCCCCCCUCUUCAAUCCAUAUGAUUAAAUGAAGCUAAUCGGUUUUCUGUUUUCGUGUAGCUCUGCUAGUCAUAAUUCUUUCGAAAUGUCUGGGAAUACACAGAAACUAAGGCAUCUUAGGCACUAUAAAUUUUCUAGUUUCCUCACUCUUUACAACAAGCGGAUUAGAAUUUUCAGUUGUUCUAGCAUUACAUCUUUUAUGCAGUCAUAGAUUUUGCCAUGAGUUCAUUAAGUGGAUAUACUACUUUAUCGUGAUAUCGCCAACAGAUAUCUAAUGAGUUGAAUUCAACAUCUGCUUAUUUUAGUUCUUGUAGCAAAAAAAUGUUAGACAGAAAUAAAGUCAUGCUUUAUUGACAACUCAAAUGCAACAGUUCCAAUUUCAACAGUACUCUCUUGGAGAGUUACAAACUUAGAAAUGCAACAGUUUUGCCAACUGCAGCAUUUCAGGUCCAGGCAUCAAGCGCUGGAGCAACUACUAUAGGACUUCUUACGGUGUGAUGACCGUUCUCUUCAACCCAAGUGAUUGAACCAGAUUGUGCUUGGUCAUCUGCAAUGCCUUUGUAACGUAUGGUAAGAGUGUAGUCCUGCUUCUGAUUUUUCUUCUCAAACACUAAGGUUUGUGGAGAGAUGGAAAUUGUCGAGCUUUUUGGUGCUAUCACUUUUGCUACAUACUUAGCUGCACCGGCUCCAACAUUUGUGACUGUCCGCCUGAAUUUCUUCUCCAACCUAGAGUAUUUCCCAAUUGGGCUAAAGAGAGCAAUAAAUGAUGGGUAAUUGAUAUCAUCAGAUGGAUUUGAACAGUUGUGUUUAGCUGAUGAUCUAGCAAUUGUAUUGAAUUGCUCUAGUGUAAAAUUCAUGGAGCAGAGAAGAUUCACAUAGUCUUGUGGAGUGGCAUCAUAUAUCAGGCCUGGAUCAACUGCACGGUUUGGAUCAACAAGUCCGGCUCCCAUAGCUAAUGAUGUAGUAUUGCUGUUACCAUCCUCGGUUUUGAUGGGGUUUUUAGUAUUAUCCAAAUGGUUGGCAGUGGUCAUCAUGGCAGAUCGAAUAGCUGAAGGACUCCAAUCAGGAUGUGCUCCUUUAAGCAUUGCAGCGAUUCCAGCAAUGUGAGGAGCAGCCAUGGAAGUACCUGAUACAAGACGGUAAUCACUACCCAAAAAUGUAUUGACACCAAUAACUGUAUCUGAAUUGUUUGAUGGCCAGGCUGCUAGAAUUAACUCUCCUGGUGCCAUAAUAUCUGGCUUUGCUACUUGCAGAUAGCUUAGAGAGGGGCCUCUCGAGGAAAAUGCAGAAACAGCCGGAGCAGGCUUUACAUCAAUACGUGUUCCCUGGAAACUGAGGCUGACUUUUGGUUUAGCACUUUUGGUUGCAUAGUCUAUCACUUGUUUCCCUUCCUUGGUGCUAAUCACAACUCCAGGAUUUGGAAAAAAAUUGGAUGACAAUACAUCUGGAUCAUCAGAAAUAUAGAUGGCUCCUCCAAAUUUCGACUCUGAGAUAGCCGCCAUUUGGUCCUCUACUUCUACUGCAUUACUAAAACAAAUCAUAAUGCUACGUCCACCAUUAGGGACUUUGGCUAAUACAUCAGAUGAAUCACAAGGUGAUAUACUUUCGUUGUAAAGCACUGGAAAAUUCUUGAUGAUGGUUUUCACUGGAAACAAGCUAAAUCCAGUAAUAUUUACGCCAUUCCCAAGAGUUAAAGUCCCAUAGAAUGCUCGAUCAGUACUGCAUGACGCCACAGUAAAGAUCCAAGGGACACCAUUAUUUAUAGUUCCCAUUUCAGGGCCACUAUUUCCAGCUGAAGCAGAGAUUAAGACACCUUUCAUCAUGGCACCAAAAGAAGCUAUCGCAAUUGAAUCUUGAUACACUGGAAUCCUAACCCACCCAUAAGAAAUAGUUAUUAUGUCAACACCAUCUGCAACAGCUUGAUCCAUUGCAGCAAUUAAAUCAGAAGUGAAGGUUCCUUCCUCAAAGCUAAACUUAUACACAGCUAUCCUAGCUCGUGGCGCCAUACCUCUUGCUGUUCCAGUAGCAUAUCCAAAAUAUGAAGCGCCUUUAGCAAAAUUACCAGCAGCAAUGGAGGCAACAUGUGUUCCAUGACCUCUAGUAUCCCUUGCAGAAUUCAUUGAAAUAUUCACAGUAGGAUUAUCAGCCAAAAUCCCUUUGUUGAAAUAAUUAGCCCCAAUGAUUUUCCUGUUACACAAUGAAGAAUUAAAAUCUGUUCCUGCCUUGCAAAUUCCCUUCCACCUUUUUGGAAUUUCAGGCAAUCCAUCUUCACUGAAACUAGCAGAUUCUGGCCAGACACCAGAGUCGAGUACACCGAUGAUAACAUCUUGACCAAAACCAGAAGCUGGCCAUAGUCCAGAUGCAGGAUUGAGCUUAAGAAACUCUGAGGUAUGAGUUGUGUGAGCUUCAACACUCCUAUCUUUAUAAGCUGAAAGGAAACCUGCCGAUUUCUCGAGCAAUUCAAGCUCAUGUUUAGACAAAACAGCACUGAAUCCAUGGAUGACAUUGUCAUAAGAAUAAAGAAGUUUUGGAACUGGAUGGUGGCCAUUUUGUGUAGUGGGAGCUUCAAUCUUGAUGGUAUCAAUAAUGGAAGAAUGCCAAUUUUGGUGAGUAGCAAAGAUUUUAGGCAUAAAAGACUUGUCCAAAUGGACAAUGUAAGUAGACCUCUCUGCUGAGGUUCCUAAUAACAAAGAAGGACCAAAAAGACACCAAGAAAACAGAAGAAAAGGUACUCCUAACAUAGUUUUUUUCUCUACACUUUGUGUUAUUCCUUCUAUAACACAGCCUCCUUUAAAUAUACACCUUAAGAAACAGUCCUAGUUGACUGAUUUUGUGAAGUAAACUUGUUGGUAAGCUGUCAUUUUCUAAGACUUGUUGGUCAGUGGACCUGUGGAGACUUUUGCUAGUCUAAGUUGUGUGCUAACUGUGUUCACACUACACAGGAAGAAUGUUGCACCAUAUUUUUAAGUGUUCAAUUGAGAUUGGAAUAUAUAUCAAUCAAAAUACUAAUGAUUAAGUAACAAACAGUAUAUAGACAAAUAUUAUAUUCUUGUUGCUUUAAUGCAUGCACUAGAUAAAUUUUUCACAUAAAUGCUUAUAAGCUUUUCUUUUAUAUAUAUAUCUCCCUUUUUUUAGUUAUAUUAUAUUGUGAGUAAAUUGAGAAUCUUUUGCAAGUAAAAAGUUAUAUUUUUCUUUAAAUGACCCUACUAUAUUGUGAUUGAUUGGUAUGUCACAUAUCAAAAAAUGACCCUACCAUAUUGUGAUUGAUGAUUAGUAUGUCGCAUAUUAAAAAAUGACCCUACCAUAUUGUGAUUGAUGAUUAGUAUGUCGCAUAUUAAAAAAUGACCCUACCAUAUUGUGAUUGAUGAUUAGUAUGUCGCAUAUUAAAAAAUGACCCUACCUUAUUGUAAUUGAUUGGGAGGUACAUACUUUCUAAUUGUAUGCAUCCCCUCUCCCUCCUAUAUACACAGAGAGACUCUCUUUUUCUGUAUAUCUAUAUACUCAGUUCUAGUGGAGUAUAUGUACUAUUUUUGUACUCUUUUUUAUAUUAGUGAAUUCCUCAUACUUGAUCAAACCAUGUUAAAUUAUUGUCUCGUUUGAUAUAUUCUUUUUGUUAUUUCAUUUAUAUUUCGUACAAAAUUUGUAUUGUUAAAUGUUAGCUUCCACAUAACAUCUAAGUAUUUCAGUCCUAUUGUGUGAAUGUUGCUACUGAUUAAUGACCCCUAUUGCCAAUCAAACAUCUAUUCAACAAAGUCUUGGUUUUUUGGUAACACAAGAAAAUAAAACAUUAUUCAACAAUUACUUCAAACAUGCACAUGCUUUGCCAGAAUACUUCCAGCUACUUUAACAGAACCCUCUUGAGGAGAGUUACAAACUUACAAAUGCAACAGUAUUAUCAACUGCAGCAUUUCAGUUUGGGGCAUCAAUCAUUUUCAUUUGGGGCAUCAAGCGCUGGAGCAACUACUAUAGGACUUCUUACGGUGUGAUGACCGUUCUUUUCCACCCAAGUGAUUGAACCAGAUUGUGCUUGGUCAAAUUCAAUGCCUCUGUAACGUAUGGUAAGAGUGUAGUCCUGCUUCUGAUGUUUUUUCUCAAACACCAAGGUCUGUGGAGAGAUAGAAAUUGUCGAGUUUAUUGGUGCUUUCACUUUUACUUUGUACUUAGCUGCACCGGGUCCAACAUUUGUGACUGUCCUCGUGAAUUUCUGCUCCAACCAAGCAUAGUCCCCAUUUGGGAUAUAGAGAGCAAUAAAUGAUGGGUAAUUGAUAUCAUCGGAUGGAUUUGCACAGUUGUGCUUAGCUGAUGAUCUAGCAAUUGUCUUGAACUGCUUUUCUGUGAAAUUCAUGGAGCAGAGAAGAUUCACGUAGUCUUGUGGAGUUGCAUCAUAUAUCAGGCCUGGAUCAACUGCACGGUUUGGAUCAACAAGUCCAGCUCCCAUGGAUAAAGAUGUAGCAUAAUUGGUUCUGAGGUAAUCCAUGGUCUUGAUGGGCUUUUCAGUAUUAUCCAAAGGGCUUGCAGUGGUCAUCAUGGCAGAUCGAAUAGCUGAAGGACUCCAAUCAGGAUGUACUCCUUUUAGCAUUGCAGCAAUUCCGGAAAUGUGAGGAGCAGCCAUCGAAGUGCCUGAAAGAAGCCUGUAAUCACUAUCCAAAAAUGUAUUGACACCAAUGAUUGCAGCUGAAGUGUUCGAUGGCCAGGCUGCUAAAAUUAACUCCCCUGGUGCCAUAAUAUCUGGCUUUGCAACUCGUAGAUAGCUUAGGGAGGGGCCUCUCGAGGAAAAUGCAGAAACAACUGGAGCAGGCUUAACAGCAAAAUGUGUUUCCUGGAAACUGAUGCUGACUUUUGGUUUAGCACUUGUUUUUGCAUAGUCUACCACCUUUUCCCAAUCCUUGCUGCUAAUUACAGCUCCAGGAUUCGUAAAAUAAUUGGAUGUCAAUACAUCCGGAUCUCCAUAAACAUAGAGUGCGCCACCAAAUUUUGCCUCUGAGAUAGCCCCCAUUUGAUCAGAGACUGAUAAGUCUUCUUGUGCAGUGCUAUAACACAUCGUGAUGCUACGUGCUUUAUUAGGGACUUGGGCUAAAUCAUCAGAUGACUCACAAGCGGAUAAGCUGUCAUUGUAAACCAAAUCAAAAUCCUUUAUGGUGGUUCUCACUGGAAACAAGCUAAAUCCAGUAAUCUUUAAGCCAUUCCCAAAAGUUAUAGUCCCGGAAAAUGAUCGGUCAGUACUGCCUGAUGCCACAGUAAAGAUCCAGGGGACUCCAUUGGAUAAAGUUCCCAUUUCAGGACCAUUAUUCCCAGCUGAAGCAGAGACUAACACACCCUUCAUCAUGGCACCAAAAGAAGCUAUUGCAAUAGAAUCUUCAUACAAUGGACCAAAACCAUACCCAUAAGAAAUUGAUAGUAUGUCAACGCCAUCUGCAACAGCUUGGUCCAUAGCAGCAAUUAAAUCAGAAGUGACGGUCCCUUCUUCAAAGCUAAACUUAUAUACAGCAAUCCUAGCUUGUGGCGCAAUACCUCUUGCUGUUCCAGGAGCAUAUCCAAAAUAUGAAACUCCUUUAACAGAACUACCAGCAGCAAUGGAAGCAACAUGAGUGCCAUGACCUCUCAUAUCCCUUGCAGAAUUCAUGGAAAGAACAAUAGUAGGAUCACUAGCCAAAAGCCCCUUAUUGAAAUAAUUCGCCCCAAUGAGUUUCCUGUUGCAUAAAGAAGAAUUGAAAUCUGUUCCUGGCUUACAAAUUCCCUUCCACUUUUUUGGUAUUGCAGAUAGUCCAUCAUCUCUGAAACUAGCAGAUUCUGGCCAGACACCAGUGUCGAGUACUCCGAUAAUCACAUCUUCACCAAAACCAGACGCCGGCCAUAGCCCAGAAGCAGGAUUAAGCUUAAGAAACUCAGGGGAAUGUGUAGUGUGAGCUUCAACAGGCCUAUCUUUAUAAGCUGAAAGAAAGCCUGGUGACUUCUUGAGAGCUUCAAAUUCAUCUUUAGACAAAACAGCACUGAAUCCAUGAAGCACAUUGUCAUAAGAAUAAAGAAGCUUUGGAACUGGGAUGGUGGCUAUUUUGUGUAGUGGGAGCUUCAAUCUUGAUGGGUAUCAAUAAUGGAAGAAUGCCAAUUUUGGUGAGUAGCAAAGAUUUUAGGCAUAAAAGACUUAUCCAAAUGGACAAUGUAGGUAGACCUCUCAGCUGAGGUUCCUAAAAACAAAGAAAGACACAAAGAAAAGAGAAGAAAAGGUAGUAUUGUCUUCAUAGUU
rnacentral:lncRNA from 1 species